rnacentral:rRNA from 1 species
GGUUCGAUCCUGGCUCAGAUUGAACGCUGCUGGCGGGAUGCUUUAAGGCGGAACGCGUUACGGACUUCGGUCUGGUGGCGAGUGGCGAACGGGUGAGUAAUGUAUCGGAACGUGCCUGUGGGGAUAACUACGCGAAAGGUAGCUACUGUCGCGGCUAACGACCUUUCGGGGAAAGCGGGGACCUUCGGGCCUCGCACUAUUAGGAGCGGCCGAUAUCGGAUUAGCUUAGUUGGUGGGGUAACGGCUCACCAAGGCGACGAUCCGUGCUGCGACGACCAGCCACACUGGGACUGGAGACGGCCCAGACUCCUACGGGAGGCAGCAGUGGGGAAUUUGGACAAUGGGGGAAACCCUGAUCCAGCCAUCCCGCGUGUGCGAUGAAGGCCUUCGGGUUGUAAAGCACUUUUUAGGGAAAGAAACGGCACGGGAGUACCUCGUGCAACUGACGGUACCUGCAGAAUAAGCACCGGCUAACUACGUGCCAGCAGCCGCGGUAAUACGUAGGGUGCAAGCGUUAAUCGGAAUUACUGGGCGUAAGCGUGCGCAGGCGGUCGGAAAGAAAGAUGUGAAAUCCCAGAGCUUAACUUUGGAACUGCAUUUUUAACUACCGGAGUCGAUGUCAGAGGAGGUGGAAUUCCGCGUGUAGCAGUGAAAUGCGAUAUGCGGAGGAACACCGACGGCGAAGGCAGCCUCCUGGGAUAACACUGACGUGCUCAUGCACGAAAGCGUGGGGAGCAAACAGGAUUAGAUACCCUGUAGUCCACGCCCUAAACGAUGUCGGUUCAGUUACGGGGCCUUCGGGCCUGGUAGAAGUGCAGCGACUGGUGAAGUUGACCGCCUGGGAGUACGGUCGCAAGAUUAAAACUCAAAGGAAUUGACGGGGACCCGCACAAGCGGUGGAUGAUGUGGGAUUAAUUCGAUGCAACGCGAAAACCUUACCUACUCCUUUAUGGACAUGUCUGGAAUCCCGAAGAGAUUUGGGAGUGCUCGCAAGAGAACCGGAACACAGGUGCUGCAUGGCUGUCGUCAGUCAGGCCGUGAGAUGUUGGGUUAAGUCCCAACGAGCGGCAACCCUUGUCAUUAGUUGCUACGAAAGGGCACUCUAAUGAGACUGCCGGUGACAAACCGGAGGAAGGUGGGGAUGACGUCAAGUCCUCAUGGCCCUUAUAGGCUUCGCCACGUCAUACAAUGGUCGGGACAGUGGUCGCCAACCCGCGAGGGGAGCCAAUCCCAGAAACCCGAUCGUAGUCCGACGUCUGCAAACUCGACUGCGUGAAGUCGGAAUCGCUAACGCGGAUCAGCAUGUCGCGGUGAAUACGUUCCCGGGUCUGCAUACCGCCCGUCACACCAUGGGGAGUGGGUUUUACCAGAAGUAGUUAGCCUAACCCAUGAGGGCGAUUACCACGGUAGGAUUCAUGACUGGGGUGAAGUCGUAACAAGGUAA